CAGCUUUACAGCGGAUUAUGUUUGACUGUGCCUCAGAGACAAAGACAAGUAAACAAGUUGGGUGUUCUGGUGUUGGAGUCAGAGCUCUACAGCACAUCACUCAAGAUCUUCUGAUACAUUUUCAUCUUGGAACAGACAACCUGCCUCCAGAGACAAAACUGAUCUGGUGUGAUGUGGCAAGAAGACAAAAAUCACAGCAUGUAUGGUUACCCAUUAAAGUACAAGCACUAGAGUUGCACUAAUGAUGCUAUUUCAGUGUGUAUAAGUAAUAAUUCUUACGAGGUGGUAUUUAAGUUUUGAAACUCGCUCAAUUUACAAGUACUUUAUUUAUCCACGUUUACACACUAUCACCUUUAAAAUAUUCCCCUUGAGCAGCAAAACAUCGCUUCCAGAGUUACUACCACUUCUGGAAAGUCUUCUGGAUGUCUUCUUUUCGAAUUGUGUCAAGCACCUUCUGCUAUUUGCACUGGAUCUCCACAAAAAUAUCAAAAAGGCGACC